ACUCCUACGGGAGGCAGCAGUGGGGAAUAUUGCACAAUGGGCGCAAGCCUGAUGCAGCCAUGCCGCGUGUAGUGAAGAAGGCCUUCGGGUUGUAAAAGCACUUUCAGAGGGAGGAAGGUAGUGUAGUUAACACCUGCAUUAUUUGACGUUACCUACAGAAGAAGCACCGGCUAACUCCGUGCCAGCAGCCGCGGUAAUACGGAGGGUGCGAGCGUUAAUCGGAAUUACUGGGCGUAAAGCGCAUGCAGGCGGCCUGUUAAGUCAGAUGUGAAAGCCCGGGGCUUAACCUCGGAAUUGCA
rnacentral:rRNA from 1 species